CCACAAGCAUCUACAAUUGUAUCAGGUACAGCUCAAGCAUUCCACAGGUGUGCAGGUGGACCCCUGAAGGCCACAAUGGCAGUGGUGAUUUUAGCUGAACUCUCCUCUGAGGGUAACGAAAAGGCACAGAGAGCACAGCUGCGGCUGGUGACCCGAAACCACUCAGGCCUGUAUGUUGCAAGCUGUCAACUGCAAAGAUACCUGCCAAAGUCAUCACAGAGUGGAGUGGGAAUGUGUCUCUACCACAGAGGAAGAAAUAAGGUGAUCAUCCCCAGAAACCUGCAGGAGAGGAUUGCAGAGCAGCUCCAUGGAGCAGCUCAAGAUCUUUCAGGACGAAUCAAAGGACAUCCAUGUGUAUGUAAACAAACUGCUCCACAGGUCCCCUACCCUCUGCCUAUCUCUA